GGCGGCAGGCCUAACACAUGCAAGUCGAGCGGCAACAUUUCUAGCUUGCUAGAAGAUGACGAGCGGCGACGGGUGAGUAACGCGUAGAAAUCUACCUAGUAGUGGGGGAUAGCCCAGAGAAAUUUGGAUUAAUACCGCAUACGCCCUACGGGGAAAGCCGGGGGAUCUUCGGACCUCGUGCUAUUAGAUGAGUCUGCGUCGGAUUAGCUUGUUGGUGAGGUAAUGGCUCACCAAGGCGACGAUCCGUAGCUGGUCUGAGAGGAUGACCAGCCACACUGGAACUGAGACACGGUCCAGACUCCGUACGGGAGGCAGCAGGUGGGGAAUAUUGCAACAAGUGGGCCGCAACGCCUGAUGCACGCCAUGCCGCGUGUGUGAAAGAACGGCCGUUAGGGUUAGUAAAGCUACUUUCAGCAGUGAAGGAAAGGGGUGUCGUUAAUAGCGCCAUCCUGUGACGUUAACUGCAGAAGAAGGACCGGCUAACUCCGUG
rnacentral:rRNA from 1 species